AUCCUCCCCUUUUUGCGGUUGCUAUAUUGAUUUCAGCCUGUCUUUUCAGUGUGUGUCCCUGUUGGAUGCUGUUUUGGAUCUGUUUACUGCCCUCCCUGCAGUUUAACAGCAGGUUAUUUGAAGGCUGCCUAUCCUGAGCGGUGAAUUGAUUCUCAGGA